GACGAACGCUGGCGGCGUGCCUAACACAUACAAGUCGAGCGGAGUAAAUACUACGGUAAUUACUCAGCGGCGGACGGGUGAGUAACACGUGGACAAUCUACCCUAUAGACCGGGAUAACACACCGAAAGGGGUGCUAAUACCGGAUAAUGUCGUGAAGUGGCAUCACUUAACGAAGAAAGGAGAAAUCCGCUAAAGGAAGAGUCCGCGGCCCAUUAGCUAGUUGGUGAGGUAAAGGCCCACCAAGGCAACGAUGGGUAGCCGGCCUGAGAGGGUGAACGGCCACACUGGAACUGAGAGACGGUCCAGACUCUUACGGGAGGCAGCAGUGGGGAAUAUUGCGCAAUGGGGGGGAACCCUGACGCAGCAACGCCGUCGUGAGCGAAGAAGGCCUUCSGGGUUGUAAAGCUCAAUAGUAUGGGAAGAAAGAAAUGACGGUACCAUACGAAAGCCCCCGGCUAACUACGUGCCAGCAGCCGCGGUAAUACGUAGGGGGCGAGCGUUGUCCGGAAUUACUGGGCGUAAAGAGCACGUAGGCGGCUAUAUAAGUCAGAUGUAAAAAACCUGGGCUUAACCGAGGGGAUGCAACUGAAACUAUAUAGCUUGAGUCAAGGAGAGGAAAGUGGAAUUCCCAGUGUAGCGGUGAAAUGCGUAGAUAUUGGGAAGAACACCAGUGGCGAAGGCGGCUUUCUGGACUGCAACUGACGCUGAGGCGCGAAAGCUAGGGGAGAGAACAGGAUUAGAUACCCUGGUAUUCCUAGCCGUAAACGAUGGGCACUAGGUGUGGGAGGUAUCGACCCCUUCCGUGCCGGAGUUAACGCAAUAAGUGCCCCGCCUGGGGAGUACGGCCGCAA
rnacentral:rRNA from 1 species